CCCAGGCGUACUGUACAUCAGACCAGCCCUGUCAACAUCACGAGAAAGACAGCUUGGGCACAUUUGAAAGAACAUACUGAAAUUGACUUUUUACGGUGACUUUUAAAAGGUGAAAAGAGGACGAGGGAUACAAAAGAGAAGUGGGACUGAAGAAAAGAGGAAGAUUAAAGAAAGAAAAGAAGACUUUAAACGUCUGAAGGCACUUGACAAAGGCCUGAGACUAGCCAUGGAGGAGGAUUACAAGAGACCACCACCGGCCUAUGAAGAAGUUAUUACCCAGCAGCACACGAGCAACACCAGUCAGAGCCGCUCCGCUGAUAACAGGCAGAACGCCUGCUGCAGGUGCUGCAUUAGCACCAAGAACUGUCUGAUGAGUCCGGAGUGUGGUCGAGCUCUAAACAUCGCCAGCGUGGUUGCCAUGUGUGGCAUGUGCAUUCGAAUGUUUGUCUAACACAGUCUCCUGUGGACCAUCUAGUCCAGAUCUCUCAUCCAGUGGUGGCCUUCUCAAAUUAAAAGAGAAACAAAGACAUUAGCUCUGUUCCAAAAACCUGGUGAUCUGCAACAUUUAUAAGCUCUACCCCAAUACGAAUCCCAAUGCUGUUCCAAAUAGUAUGCCGCACUGCAUUUAUCAUUCACAGAUAAGGUAAUCCCAGAAUGAACUGACUAAAAUUUCCAUUUCAAAUAGGAAACGUCAAUUGCAAAGCAUAACUUAUAAACACAAAGUAUAUUUAAUUCAGUACGAACAAAUAUCAUUGAAAAAUGCUGCCAUGUGAGCUUAGCAACAUGCUAAAAUUCUUUUUUUUGUCUCCAAAGUUCCUUAAAGUGACUACACCUUUACAGUAUGUGUUUGCCUUUUGUUGUAUUAAUAUUUUCUGUCUAAUCCAAGUCACCUAUGUUUGCAUAGAGCUUUGUGCAAUAGACAUUGCACAAUACUAAACAGGAAAGAAACAGAAUUAGUGACGCAAACUUUAUAAAAUAUGAGGCAAAUCCAAAUUAUGCUGUAAAGCAGCAUUAAUAAGACAUUUCAAAACCUAAAAUAGUUGCAAUCAUUUGGAAAUGUUCAUUAGGCUAUUUUUUUCUUUCGUAAACUGGAACCAGUCACAUAAUUGGAUGUGGCAUCCACCUUAAUUAUGUAUCAGGGAGUCAAAACUUUGCAUUACAAGUUUUUUUUUAAAUGAUGUGCACUAGACAGCCUAGAAUUUAUUUUCCAAUUGUGGUGGAUUGUUUUCCUAUAAGACUGUAAAAUAUUUAGGCCUAAACCUGUAGAGUGAGAGUGUGUAAAUACCGAUCUUCUCCACUGAAUAUAAAGCCAUCUGUCAUAUAGCCGGUACGUAAACAAAUACCCUUAAGUUAAUACAGCUGGGAUGCUUUAUUGUCAGGAGUAAAUAUUUAUUCAGCUAAAAAUAGAUGAACUGUACACUCAACUAUGUAAAAUAAUAAAGAUAUCCAACAUUAGCAAAUAAGGACGAAUGUGGAGUCUUUACUUCGUGUCAUGUUAAGUAUUAUUUGUGUCAUUUGCCGCAUAAUCAGAUGAUAACUGUGAGAGAAAAAUGUGUUUUUAAUAGUUUUUAAUCAUUAGGAGAGAAUAAUUUAUGUUGGCCAUUUGGGAUUAAGACGACAUGGUUGCUGCGCUGAAAUUUUUUAUCUCCUAAUUAUACCCUGAAUAUUUGGUGUGUCAGGAAUCAAAGGUCAAGCAUUUCUCUGGGGCUCAUAAUUAUUCAGGUUUUCUCUGGCUGCUCUCUGGCCCAUUUUUCAACGCAGGAGAAACAACACAAGAUGUAAUCAGUCUGAAGGAUCCAAGUACAGUGUUUUAGUCCACGUUCUAAAUCACAAACAUAAUAUUGGAAUCAGAAUCCAUCCAAGUAAUGAAGGUAAUCCAAUACCAUAAUCAAAACACACAGGCAGAUAUUCAGUGAACAAGGAAACAAAUCACAGAUACAAACCUCUCAGAAUGAAAUGCACACGAGACACAUGAACAAAAAGAGCAAGAACAAAAAGAACAGAUGGUUUUAUAUAUGCUGAACAAAGCAACGCACAUCUGUAACAACACAAUGGAGCGAAACAGUAGCUUAUUGAGUACUCAUGCAGUAUGUACGGUAUUCUGCUGACUGUAAUAUUUAUAGGAUGUGAAACAGAAACAUUUUAAACACUCAUUACAUAGUAGAUUUUAAUUAUUGGCCAAUAAUGAGGUAGGGCUGGCCGAUAUCGCCAAAAGAUUCAGGCUGGUCUCAUUAUUUUAAUUAAAGCUCAACGUAUUUUGGUGAUUAUAAAACUAUGAAACGUGUAUUUUUAGCUAAAAAAAGUAAAAUAUUUACCAAUCUUUUAUAUCAUUACGAUAUUUGUAUAUAUGCAUUUUUAUCAUUUUAGCGAUUUAGAUUUUAGACCCCUUAAUCUACCCCAAACCUAAACCUACUCAUUUUAUAGCGAGUAUAAAAAAUAUCCCUGCUGAAAAAACAGCUAAAACCAGCAUAAGCUGGUUUAAGAUGGAAGUAGCUGUUUUUAGCUGGUCUCCCACCCUGGCUAGACUGGUCAGGCUGGUUUUAGCUGGUCGUUCUACCUGGUCUCCCAGCCUGACCAGCUAAAGAAGUGGCCAAAACCCCAACUAGCCAACCAGCCUAUUCUCUUAAAAAUAAAGGUGCUUUAAAAGGUUCUUCACAGCGAUGCCAUAGGAGAACCAUUUUUGGUUCCACAAAGAACCAUUCAAUCAAAGGUUCUUUAAGGAAUCAUCUCUUUCUUACCUUUUUAUAAUCUGAAGAACCUUUUUUCACCACAAAGAACCUUUUAUGAAACAAAAAUGUUCUUCAGAGGUUAAAGGUUCUUUAUGGAACCAUUUAGACAAAAAAAGGUUCUUCUAUGGUAUCGUGAAGCACCUUUAUUUUUAAUGUGCAACUUACCAUUUUAGUAACAAUAUAACACUUAAAAGAUACAUUUUAUAGUCGCUAAUCCCACUCCAACCUCUAACUAACAAUAACAAUAUCUGUAAAAACAUGACAGACAGAUAAGUAGAACCACAUUCAAAAACAGUACCAAAACAAUACAGUAGGUUUGCGUGAGGUGCAGAGCGGAAUUUAAAUUGUUAAUCUCUGAAUAUAUUAUCCAGAUUAUUAUCCUGAUCCUCCUGUGAAGACGGGCGUUUCUCAUUCAAACACACCUCACCAGAAACACAGCAUGUCGCAAUCAACAUGUCAAGGAAAACGCCUUUUGUGUCCAAUGGCAAACAAAGUAAAUAUUACAUAAGUAAUGGUUUAACGAUUGCAUUUUCAUUUAACAAUUUGUAUUCUUCACAGCAUAAAUCACACAGCCCUGCUGGUUGGCUGGUUUUAUCUGGUUUAAACUGGACGUAUUUGGUUCCAGCUGGUCUCCCACCCUGAUCAGCUAAGAAAAAGUGGACAAAACCCCUCUAAAACCAGCUAAGACCAGGCUGGAUGACCAGCUAAAACCAGCAAAACAGCUUAGGCAGGUUUUAGCUGUUUUCUUUUCCUUCUUCUUCUUUUUUCUUUCUUUUUUUCAGCAGGGAGAACUAAAUGUUAUCAUUUCACAUGAAGUAAUGCACAGUGCUAUUGAUAU